rnacentral:rRNA from 1 species
AUUGAACGCUGGCGGCAGGCUUAACACAUGCAAGUCGAGCGAGCGGCGGACGGGUGAGUAACACGUGGGAACCUACCCAUCAGAGGGGGAUAACACUUGGAAACAGGUGCUAAUACCGCAUACCGAUGGAUGGACCCGCGGUGGAUUAGCUAGUUGGUGAGGUAACGGCCAACCAAGGCCACGAUGCAUAGCCGACCUGAGAGGGUGAGCUGCCACACUGGAACUGAGACACGGUCCAGACGCCUACGGUAGGCAGCAGUGGGGAAUAUUGCACAAUGGGCGCAAGCCUGAUGCAGCCAUGCCGCGUGUUGAGAAGGCCUUCGGGUUGUAAAGCACUUUCAGCGAGGAGGCGUUACUCGCAGAAGAAGCACCGGCUAACUCCGUGCCAGCAGCCGCGGUAAUAC